rnacentral:tRNA from 1 species
UUCAUUUUAGUAUAAGAUGUACAUAAAUUUUUGAUAUUUAAAGUAAUAGUUUAAUCUAUUAAAUGUA